GGGAUGGGGGUGAAAGGGAAAGAAAAGCAAAGGUUCAGGCACCAAAUGGAAUCCAUUUUACUCUUAAAGAAACAGAACUAUCAACUUUGUUGCGAGCAUUUGUGAGGCUCCGGCGGGUGGGGGCGUAGAGAAGUAGCCAAGGCGCCCCGUGGAGCUCAGAACCCCCAACAGACACCAGACAAGCCUUUCAUCUGGUUUAGAACGAGGCAAACAGUCCUGGUUUGAACCGUGUCCUUUCCUGGAGGCAACAGAGGACUAGAAAACAGAAAGGAAGCAAAACAACAGGGGCGAUCUGAUCUGAAAUUAAUUCCUAGCCACUCCCUAUUCCUGGCUGAGAGAACUAACCGGGUCUGGAUUGCCUGUCCAUGUUGGAGGAAAUGAUACCCCGAGGUGGAGCCAGAGUUCAGGAAGGUGGGAAUUGGUGGCAGGAGGAAAUCAAGUCAUGGGAUGAUUCUGAACACCAGCAGUAUGAAGAUUUGAUUGAGAUGGGAUUUGCAGUUAAUAAUACCCUUUGGGUUUCUGGUCCUGCUCGCUUUGCCACCAUAUUGAAGUGGAACUGGGAAUCCUGGUGUGCCUGUGUGGGAGUGUAUGUUUGGGAGUGGGGAUCCAUGGUGCUCUUGAUGGCUCCGCAGCACGGUACUUGGGAGGUGCCCGGCUCACCUCUAAGAAUCUCCCUACUUAUAAAUAGAUGUUCAUUCC
rnacentral:lncRNA from 1 species